rnacentral:rRNA from 1 species
CACGAACCGGGCAAACGUUAUUCGGAAUUACUGGGCUUAAAGGGUGCGUAGGCGGCGCUGUAAGUCGGGUGUGAAAUCCCUCGGCCUAACCGAGGAAUUGCGCCCGAUACUGCAGUGCUCGAGGAAGAUAGAGGUGGGCGGAACUAGCGGUGGAGCGGUGAAAUGCGUUGAUAUCGCUGGGAACACCCGUGGCGAAAGCGGCCCACUGGGUCUUUUCUGACGCUGAUGCACGAAAGCUAGGGUAGCGAACGGG